rnacentral:misc_RNA from 1 species
UUGGACUACUCGGGUAUCUAAUCCUGUUUGCUCCCCACGCUUUCGAGCCUCAACGUCAGUUACAGUCCAGUAAGCCGCCUUCGCCACUGGUGUUCCUCCUAAUAUCUACGCAUUUCACCGCUACACUAGGAAUUCCACUUACCUCUCCUGCACUCUAGCUGCACAGUUUCCAAAGCAGUUCCGGGGUUAAGCCCCGGCAUUUCACUUCAGACUUGUGCUGCCGUCUACGCUCCCUUUACACCCAGUAAAUCCGGAUAACGCUUGCCCCCUACGUAUUACCGCGGCGGCUGGCAC